rnacentral:rRNA from 1 species
AUUGAACGCUGGCGGAAUGCUUUACACAUGCAAGUCGAACGGUAGAGGGGGCAACCCCUCGAGAGUGGCGAACGGGUGAGUAAUAUAUCGGAACGUGCCCAGUCGUGGGGGAUAACGUAGCGAAAGUUACGCUAAUACCGCAUACGAUCUAAGGAUGAAAGCGGGGGAUCGCAAGACCUCGCGCGAUUGGAGCGGCCGAUAUCAGAUUAGGUAGUUGGUGGGGUAAAGGCUCACCAAGCCAACGAUCUGUAGCUGGUCUGAGAGGACGACCAGCCACACUGGAACUGAGACACGGUCCAGACUCCUACGGGAGGCAGCAGUGGGGAAUUUUGGACAAUGGACGCAAGUCUGAUCCAGCCAUUCCGCGUGCAGGAUGAAGGCCCUCGGGUUGCAAACUGCUUUUGUACGGAACGAAAAGGUCUCUCUUAAUACGGGGGACUCAUGACUGUACCGUAAGAAUAAGCACCGGCUAACUACGUGCCAGCCGCCGCGGUAA